rnacentral:rRNA from 1 species
UACGAAGGGGGCUAGCGUUGCUCGGAAUCACUGGGCGUAAAGGGCGCGUAGGCGGCCUGAUCAGUCGGGGGUGAAAGCCUGUGGCUCAACCACAGAAUGGCCUUCGAUACUGUCGGGCUUGAGACCGGAAGAGGUAAGUGGAACUGCGAGUGUAGAGGUGAAAUUCGUAGAUAUUCGCAAGAACACCAGUGGCGAAGGCGGCUUACUGGUCCAGAUCUGACGCUGAGGCGCGAAAGCGUGGGGAGCAAACAGG